CCUGCCACUCCAUUCGGGGGCCGAUGAGAUUCGUCAGCGUCUGUCCCAUCUGCUGUGUUUACGACUCAUUUGUUUACUCGCUGGUUCACAUCAGAGCUCACUGCAACCAAGGGGGGGGGGGAUUCCCUCAGCGCAGGGCUGGGUUCGGGCUCGGAGACAGUGACUACUGCUGCCGUCGCUAUGAAUCUUCCAGAGAAAAGGUUUAAGAGGGGCCUGUCACACCACAGGAGCACAGUGUGGUCCCACUGAAACCACAAAGCUAAGGGCAGAGUCUAACAAGGAAUCUAAGAUGUCAGACCGUGUGAAACCAAUGGCUGAGGAGCCCAAAGAAAUCAGUUAAUACGCUGGUCUGUAGAGAAGCUCCCCAGAGGCAAGUCUGCGUUUCAGCUCCUGCCACAGCAGAUCCCUCUCCUUCUGGGCUCCCCUCAUGAAGCCUCUGUUCUCUUGGGCUCUCCGAGACAGGUCCUUUAAAACACGUCUACCUAAUGGAAGCGAGAAAGAAGUGGCACCCAGUGUUUUAUGCUACUGACCUCCACAUUUGGGACGACCAGCAGGUCUGAUAUCUUUGUUCUCUCAUCUAUCAGGCUGUUCCAGUCGAGCACAUCAAUGGUUCUGUCAAGGCAGAGGGUAGAAAUGUUUUGUAAAG